rnacentral:rRNA from 1 species
GAUGAACGCUAGCUACAGGCUUAACACAUACAAGUCGAGGGGUAACGAGAGGAAAGCUUGCUUUCCUUGUCGACGACCGGCGCACGGGUGAGUAACGCGUAUCCAACCUGCCCCCAACUAGGGAAUAACCUUGCGAAAGUAAGACUAAUACCCUAUAAUUUCCUCAGAUGUCAUCUGACGAGGAAUAAAGGUUUAUCGGUUGUGGAUGGGGAUGCGUCUGAUUAGCUUGUUGGCGGGGUAACGGCCCACCAAGGCAACGAUCAGUAGGGGUUCUGAGAGGAAGGUCCCCCACAUUGGAACUGAGACACGGUCCAAACUCCUACGGGAGGCAGCAGUGAGGAAUAUUGGUCAAUGGGCGGAAGCCUGAACCAGCCAAGUAGCGUGCAGGAUGACGGCCCUAUGGGUUGUAGACUGCUUUUAUACAGGAAUAAAGUUAGCCACGUGUGGUUAUUUGUAGGUACUGUAUGAAUAAGGACCGGCUAAUUCCGUGCCAGCAGCCGCCGUAA